AACAUAUCUUGGGGACACCUCCCUAGCAUUUCUUUGUAUCUCUCCCAGACUUCAUAGAGAGAUUCUCCAUCUUUUGUGUGAAAGUAUAAAUAUCAUAUCUCAACUU